rnacentral:rRNA from 1 species
UACGUAGGGGGCAAGCGUUGUCCGGAAUCAUUGGGCGUAAAGAGCGUGUAGGCGGCCAGAUAAGUCCGCUGUGAAAUCUCGAGGCUCAACUUCGAGCUGUCGGUGGAAACUGUCUGGCUAGAGUCCGGAAGAGGAGAAUGGAAUCCUGGUGUAGCGGUGAAAUUCGUAGAUAUCAGGAGGAACACCAGUGGCGAAGGCGGGUCUCUGGGCCGACACUGACGCUGAGGCGCGAAAGCGUGGGGAGCAAACAGG